GAUAUUUUAAGAGCCGCAGUACUUUAACUGGGCGAAGGUAGCAUAAUCAUUAGUCUUUUAAUUGAAGGCUUGUAUGAAUGGUCGGACAAAAGGAAUACUGUUUCUAUAAUAGAAAUUGAAUUUAACUUUUAAGUGAAAAGGCUUAAAUUUUCUAGAGGGACGAUAAGACCCUAUAAAACAUUUUAUUGGGGCGAUAGAGGUAAAAGUAGUAACUGUUUUAAAAAAUUACAGACAUUUUUGAAAUGAUCCUUUGUAAAGAUUAAAAGAUUAAGUUACUUUAGGGAUAACAGCGUAAUUUUUCUUGAGAGUUCUUAUCGAGAGAAGAGAUUGCGACCUCGAUGUUGAAUUAAAUUUUCUUUGUUAUGAAGGUGUAACAAAAGAGGGUCUGUUCGACCUUUAAAUAUUU
rnacentral:rRNA from 1 species